rnacentral:rRNA from 1 species
UACGGGGGGAGCAAGCGUUGUUCGGAUUUACUGGGCGUAAAGGGCGCGUAGGCGGCCAGCACAAGUCAGUUGUGAAAUCUCCGGGCUUAACUCGGAAAGGUCAACUGAUACUGUGCGGCUAGGGUGCAGAAGGGGCAACUGGAAUUCUCGGUGUAGCGGUGAAAUGCGUAGAUAUCGAGAGGAACACCUGCGGCGAAGGCGGGUUGCUGGGCUGACACUGACGCUGAUGCGCGAAAGCCAGGGGAGCGAACGGG